rnacentral:rRNA from 1 species
GACGAACGCUGGCGGCGUGCUUAACACAUGCAAGUCGAGCGGUAAGGCCCUUUCGGGGGUACACGAGCGGCGAACGGGUGAGUAACACGUGGGUGACCUGCCCUCAGCUCUGGGAUAAGCCCGGGAAACUGGGUCUAAUACCGGAUAUGACUCCAUGACGCAUGUUGUGGGGUGGAAAGCCUUGUGCGGCUGAGGAUGGGCCCGCGGCCUAUCAGCUUGUUGGUGGGGUGAGGCCUACCAAGGCGACGACGGGUAGCCGGCCUGAGAGGGCGACCGGCCACACUGGGACUGAGACACGGCCCAGACUCCUACGGGAGGCAGCAGUGGGGAAUCUUGCGCAAUGGGCGAAAGCCUGACGCAGCGACGCCGCGUGA